rfam:Allomyces macrogynus ATCC 38327 genomic scaffold supercont3.16, whole genome shotgun sequence.
GCCCGUGUAGACAAGUGGCUAAGUCGUCGGCCUCCUAAGCCGGAAAUCGCGAGUUCGACCCUCGCCACGGGUG